rnacentral:lncRNA from 1 species
CCGGAUUGGGCUGGAUUUGGCCUGCUGGCAGUUCAUCAGACCACUGCACUGCGAGGCACUACAAAGAGUCUAUUUUGUUUCAGUCGAUUGAAAAGGAGGCCUAAGUACUGGGUGAAACGAAUUUGCUCUCUUUUCAACUGUUUCCAAGGGUGGCC